CCGACUAGUUCCGGGUUCGAGU
rnacentral:tRNA from 4 species